rnacentral:rRNA from 1 species
AACGAAGAGGUAUCGUAAUUGAAGAGGUUUGGAAAGACCCACCACAGAAGGUAAUAGUCCUGUAUGUUAAACGAGAAGACUUUAGAUAUGAUCCAGAGUACCACGGGACACGUGAAACCCUGUGGGAAGCAGGAGGGACCACCCUCCAAGGCUAAAUACUACCUAGUGACCGAUAGCGUAUAGUACCGUGAGGGAAAGGUGAAAAGAACCCCGGGAGGGGAGUGAAAUAGAACCUGAAACCCUGCACUUACAAGCUGUGGAAGCACAUUUCUUGUGUGACCGCGUACUUUUUGUAGAACGGGCCAACGAGUUACGUUAAGUAGCAAGGUUAAGCACUUAAGGUGCGGAGCCGUAGCGAAAGCGAGUUUUAACUGAGCGUUCAGUUACUUGACGUAGACCCGAAACCGGGCGACCUACCCAUGAGCAGGAUGAAGCGAAAGUAAAAUUUCGUGGAGGUCCGAACCCACGAGCGUUGAAAAGCUCGGGGAUGACUUGUGGGUAGCGGUGAAAUUCCAAUCGAGCCCGGAGAUAGCUGGUUCUCCCCGAAAUAGCUUUAGGGCUAGCCUCAAGGUGAGAGAUACGGAGGUAGAGCACUGAAUGUCCUAGGGGGUAUUGCACCUACCGAAGACUAUCAAACUCCGAAUGCCGUCAUCUUAUACUUGGGAGUCAGACUGUGGGUGAUAAGAUUCAUAGUCGAAAGGGCAACAGCCCAGAUCGUCAGCUAAGGUCCCUAAAUGUAAGUUAAGUGGUAAAGGAUGUGGGAUUGCACAGACAACCAGGAUGUUGGCUUAGAAGCAGCCACUCAUUCAAAGAGUGCGUAAUAGCUCACUGGUCGAGUGAUCCUGCGCCGAAGAUUUCCGGGGCUAAAACUUACUACCGAAGCUACGGCAUCAGUAAUGAUGGGUAGGGGAGCUUCCCAUACGGGUUGAAGCAUGACCGUAAGGACAUGUGGACAGUAUGGGAGUGAGAAUGUUGGCAUGAGUAGCGAGAUGUGGGUGAGAAUCCCACAGGCCGUAAACCCAAGGUUUCCAGGGGAAGGUUCGUCCGCCCUGGGUUAGUCGGGACCUAAGCUGAGGCCGAAAGGCGUAGGUGAUGGACAACAGGUUGAUAUUCCUGUAC